AUGACUACUGGCAGGAUCAACCAGGUAGCAUUCCUCAUCGACGCCGAUCGCCGCAUGAGCUGAGCCAAUAGACUCCGCUAAAACGGGAACGGACGUCGUCCGCAUGAAGCGUCGAACGCUCUUAUUUUCCGGGCAAAUAGAGGCCAAGGACCUCGUACCGCAUCGCUAUUCCGCAUCCGAGAGAACGAGCGCAACGACAUGGGCCAACAAAUACGAGCAUCGAGAGUGCACGAAUGGUGGAUCACAUCGAGGGCUUCGCUGUCCACCCCGCACCGCAACCCGAUAGGGCGCAGCACAAGGAGGAAAAGGGUCAUCAGGACUACAUCAUGCCUUCUCGAUAGGUAUACAACACAGGAAACCGACGUCGGUCAAGGCGAUCCGCAACUUGAGCCAACAAUUGAAAAGGCGAGCACAAGAUGCCGUCGCUGCCUGAGCAGGGAACCGACAUGCCCAUACCAGCCAAUCACC
rnacentral:misc_RNA from 1 species